UACGGGGGGGAGCAAGCGUUGUUCGGAUUUACUGGGCGUAAAGGGCGCGUAGGCGGUAGCACAAGUCAGUUGUGAAAUCUCCGGGCUUAACUCGGAAAGGUCAACUGAUACUGUGCGACUAGAGUGCAGAAGGGGCAACUGGAAUUCUCGGUGUAGCGGUGAAAUGCGUAGAUAUCGAGAGGAACACCUGCGGCGAAGGCGGGUUGCUGGGCUGACACUGACGCUGAGCGCGAAGACCAGGGGAGCGAACGGGG
rnacentral:rRNA from 1 species